AUUACAUCUUCCCGAUACCCCUUAAGUGCUUCUAAACUUGUUAGGAUCCUAACAGUAGUAGCGUCUUGAGUCGUAUAAUCUCUGACCUUUCCUUGGCGCUGCGAUUCCGGCAAGUACAAAGAGCGCGCUGUGAUGUUCUUACAGCUCCGGCUCGCGAGGCCGAUAUGGAUUUCUUGGGUGCUGCUGUGCUGCUGGAUGAGUGACGGCCAGUAUUCCGCCCGCGCGCAGGCCACGGCUGGCAUGUCUGCAAUUCCGCUUCUUCGCCAAUCGAUAAGUGCUACAUCAAUGGACCCGGGCCGAACCAGGGCGAAUGUCAGGAAUGAGGUCAGUGACCUAGAAGAGAUGGCUGUCACCAUGGUUACCGAGAAAUUAAAACGUAGCGGACACACUGUGGUAUUCGAUUGCAUUAGUAACGAGUGGCAGGACAGAGCUGGAGGGGCUGGUCACCAUGUAUAGGCACGGCAGAUGGGCAUCCGGGCAGCAGUGGUGUUGUUGAUGAUUCCUGGACAGGCCCUUUAGAACCAUCAUACCUGGCGUCUCAUCCUACCCGGAAAUUAUCACUCAGAGAUGGCGGCAGUAUUACCGUUUCAUCACAGAGUCAGGCCCCGGAAGACAUCAACUAGAGAUGAUUUUUCAUCUACGGAAGUACAGACUGCGUUUUUACGACUCCUGCCAAAAAUAAAACCCAUAUAAGUAACUGCCUUAAUCUAAUGAUGUCGCUGCUUGGAAGUUAAGUUCGACACUGGUUUACGAUUACUCGGCACAUCAUGACGGAGAGAGAACUUAUAGGUGUGCGUUAAACGAUACAGUCUUUGUUUAGCAUACAGAUAACCAUCUGUAAGACAGGGCCGUUGUCCUUAAUGCAGAGUUCGCUGCACACAUCCCGCUCGUUUUCUCCUUCCAAACGCCGCGAUUGCUCUCCAAGAUUGGAACCGUUUUGAGGAGGUUGCCUCCGAGCUGGAUUAGGUUAGUCUGGAGACCAACGUACGUCCAGCCUUGGUAGCAACGGGCAGUACUGCGUUGGGAGCGGACCUAACAAGGCUGGACUCCAGGCUAAGAUUGCUGGUAAUUGUUGGAAAACUAAAUACAAAAUGGGAGUGUUGGACGUUACAAUAGGCAUUCCUAAAAACGGGAAAACCAAUGACGAGGAAAUCGUCGAGGUACGAUCUAUCUGAAGCUUUCUUCUGAUGCACCUUUUCUCACGAGGUGGAACGUGCAGAAAUAAAUGUCCAUGCCGAGUGCCCAUCCAAAGGAGAAGGGCUUAUUGUAUAGGAGUUUAGGAAGGCGCCAGAAAACACUUGAUGUCCCAUUCUGUCCGAAAUAUUCAUUUUUUCAUGGCAGCAGACAUCUGAAAACAUUCAUGUUUCAUCUACUACGGCCAAACUGACUAU